rnacentral:lncRNA from 1 species
GGAGAGAGAGCAGGGGAUUGUAUAGACAAUAUUAAAAAAAUGAUUGAAUCUUACCAGAGGAAUAUAAGGAAUCGACAGGGUUUAAGGUUUUUGGAGAUAGAGACUGAUUGAAUUCUGUGUUCUGAGACGCCGGAUACGAGAGGCCGGAGGCGGAGCGGAGUCACGACGCACUAGGGCAGAGAGUGAGAGAUAAGAGAUCAGAUACACAGAUAGUGAGAGAUCUGAGAUAGGAGUCGAGAGAUGGGAGAUCUGAGGCCUAACACUCUGUUUC